GAUGAAGAACGUAGCGAAAUGCGAUAAGUAAUGUGAAUUGCAGAAUUCAGUGAAUCAUCGAAUCUUUGAACGCACAUUGCGCCCCCUGGUAUUCCGGGGGGCAUGCCUGUUCGAGCGUCAUUACAACCCUCAAGCUCUGCUUGGUAUUGGGCCCCGCCAGUUCUGGCGGGCCCUAAAGUCAGUGGCGGUGCCUUCCGGCUCCGAGCGUAGUAAUUCUUCUCGCUCUGGAGACCCGGUUGUGUGCUUGCCAACAACCCCCAAUUUUUUAAGGUUGACCUCGGAUCAGGUAGGGAUACCCGCUGAACUUAAGCAUAUCAAUAACGGAGGA
rnacentral:misc_RNA from 1 species